CCUUACCAGCGUUUGACAUCCUAAGAAGUUUNCAGAGAUGGAUUCGUGCCGGCUUGCCGGNNNUNNGUGACAGGUGGUGCAUGGCUGUCGUCAGCUCGUGUCGUGAGAUGNNNGGUUAAGUCCCCGCAACGAGCGCAACCCNUNUUGUAUGUUGCUNNCAUUAAGUUGAGCACUCAUGCGAUACUGCCUGCGAUGAGCAGGAGGAANNNNNNGAUGACGUCAAGUCAUCAUGCCCCUUAUACGCUGGGCUACACACGUGCUACAAUGGGCAGUACAGAGAGUUGCCAACCCGCGAGGGUGAGCUAAUCUCUUAAAGCUGUUCUUAGUUCGGAUUGUACUCUGCAACUCGAGUACAUGAAGUUGGAAUCGCUAGUAAUCGCAAAUCAGCAUGUUGCGGUGAAUACGUUCUCGGGUCUUGUACACACCGCCCGUCACACCACGAGAGUUGGUUGCACCUGAAGUAGCAGGCCUAACCGUAAGGAGGGAUGUUCCUAAGGUGUGAUUAGCGAUUGGGGNGA
rnacentral:rRNA from 1 species